rnacentral:lncRNA from 1 species
CUCAGCCGAAUAUACUUAACCUUGAAGUCGUGAAUACCACGCAGUUUUUACCCAUCUCCUAUACCUCAGGUUCUUCUCCCUUGACUCAAGAUGUAUUGCGAGCUCUUUCGAUCUGCAAGGAUCUGUCAACAUACCUUAUACAGGUAUUGCCUCCACAUCUUGAGUGCAAGUAUUACCAUUGUCAUCUCUAGAUCGUGUGUAAGAUGAUUCAACUCAUGCUUCUUCAGCUACCUAGAAGCAUAAGCAAUCAUUCUACCACUUU